AUUUUUCCAUGGAGUGUGCUCAAAGUCGUACAAGACAGUGGCGUCAAUCAUUGAGUCCUGAAGAACAUCAAAGAUAUCUAGCUCGACGACGUCUAAUAGCACAAGAAAAAAGACAACAAAUUCCAACUCCAAGUGAUGAUCAUACUAUGACAUCCCCCAGUAACAUACAGCAAGAAAUUCCUGGUCCCAGUAAUAUACAAGAACGAGUUGAUUUGGCUAACUAUGAUGUUGAGGUCAACCCCAGUAAUAUACAACAACAAAUUCCAGGUAUUUAUUUAAAUUUCUUUAUUUGUAUUUGUUUCACACUUUAAAAAUUAGGUAAUUUUUAGAACACUAUUUUGUGCAUUGAAAUCUCAUUUUAUUCUUUUGUUCGUACUCUCAUAUUGAUCUCAAUGUUGUAGUUAUUUUUAUUGGUAGUCUUACAAAAUAUUAGACCACAACUAAAUAUAUUAAAUAUUAAACAUUAAAUUUUUACCUAAUCAUAUUAUAAUGUGGUGUAUUUAUUAGAACAAAUUGAGCAUGAAAGCGCGAGUUCAAGGGUUUUGUCAGAUAUCACAAAUCGUGAUGACCAAACUUCUGCUACAAUGCGUACUCAUAUAGGAUCAUUGACACAUUCGAAUAGGUCACAAAUAUAUGAUGGGAUGCUCUCAACUCUUCCCCAUAAUGAAGAAGAACAUGCAACUAGAACCAAUCGUCAUGUGCGGCAAAGUAGAGGAAGAAGAAACCACAAUUGUGCUAGAAAUUAUAAUGAGAAUCGAGGUAUCCUAGGUUGCCGCUUACCUGCUCCAACCACAUGUUCGUACUGCUACGCACGAUUGUUUACUCGAGAAACUUUGAAUAUGUGUUGCUUGAAAGGAAGAGUUGCUUUACCCCCAAUACAAUCUCCACCAGAAAUGGUUGCUCUUUUCUCUGACCAAACAAAUGAGGGUAGACACUUCAGGCAAAAUAUUCGAGCUUACAAUCACGCAUUUUCAUUCACUUCAAUGGGAGUACACGUGGAUGAAAGAAUAAAUAUUAGUGGCCGUGGGAUUUACACAUUUCGUGCUCAAGGUGCAUUAUAUCAUAAGAUUGGUGGACUUUUACCACAUGAAGGAAACAGACCGCGAUUUUUACAAGCCUAUAUAUAUGACACUGAGCAUGAAGU